rnacentral:rRNA from 1 species
CUUGGUGUUACUGCGAAGGGGGGACGGAGAAGGCUAUGUUAGCCGGGCGACGGUUGUCCCGGUUUAAGCAUGUAGGCUGGUUGUCCAGGCAAAUCCGGAUAAUCAAGGCUGAGGUGUGAUGACGAGGUACUACGGUGCUGAAGUAACAAAUGCCCUGCUUCCAGGAAAAGCCUCUAAGCAUCAGGUAACAUUAAAUCGUACCCCAAACCGACACAGGUGGUCAGGUAGAGAAUACCAAGGCGCUUGAGAGAACUCGGGUGAAGGAACUAGGCAAAAUGGUGCCGUAACUUCGGGAGAAGGCACGCUGGUGUGUAGGUGA